UACGUAGGGUGCGAGCGUUGUCCGGAAUUAUUGGGCGUAAAGAGCUUGUAGGCGGUUGGCGCGUCUGGUGUGAAAAUCCGGGGCUCAACCCCGGACUUGCAGUGGGUACGGGCAGACUAGAGUGUGGUAGGGGAGACUGGAAUUCCUGGUGUAGCGGUGGAAUGCGCAGAUAUCAGGAGGAACACCGAUGGCGAAGGCAGGUCUCUGGGCCACUACUGACGCUGAGAAGCGAAAGCAUGGGGAGCGAACAGG
rnacentral:rRNA from 1 species